rnacentral:rRNA from 1 species
UACGGGGGGGCAAGCGUUGUUCGGAAUUACUGGGCGUAAAGGGCUCGUAGGCGGCCAACUAAGUCAGACGUGAAAUCCCUCGGCUUAACCGGGGAACUGCGUCUGAUACUGGAUGGCUUGAGUUCGGGAGAGGGAUGCGGAAUUCCAGGUGUAGCGGUGAAAUGCGUAGAUAUCUGGAGGAACACCGGUGGCGAAGGCGGCAUCCUGGACCGACACUGACGCUGAGGAGCGAAAGCCAGGGGAGCAAACGGGG